AUUGAACGCUGGCGGCAGGCCUAACACAUGCAAGUCGAGCGCGCGGCGGACGGGUGAGUAAUGUCUGGGAAACUGCCCGUUGGAGGGGGAUAACUCCUGUAGACGGUAGCUAAUAUACCAUAUCAUCAGCAGUGCCCCCCUGGGAUUAGCUAGUAGGUGGGGUAACGGCUCACCUCCGCGACGACCCCUAGCUGGUCUGAGAGGAUGACCAGCCACACUGGAACUGAGACACGGUCCAGACUCCUACGGGAGGCAGCAGUGGGGAAUAUUGCACAAUGGGCGCAAGCCUGAUGCAGCCAUGCCGCGUGUGUGAAGAAGGCCUUCGGGUUGUAAAGCACUUUCAGCGGGGAGGCGUUACCCGCAGAAGAAGCACCGGCUAACUCCGUGCCAGCAGCCGCGGUAAUUC
rnacentral:rRNA from 1 species